rnacentral:rRNA from 1 species
AUGAGCCACUUCGCCGCCAUGAAGAGCCCCGUCCCGGUCGCCGCCGCUGCCGCCACCGACGCGAAGAGCCCGCUCUUCUGCCCCAAGCCGCGCCGCCCGGUCGCGCCCCUCCGGUGCCACCAGAGCAGCCACUCCGACGCGGGCGCCGGCAUGGAUCUGCUCGACCUCCUCCUGUCAAAGGGCGACGAGAGCAAUCUUUCGGCGGCGUCCCCGCAGCCGCCGCUGUUCUGUGGCUCGCCUCCGCGGCGGGCUUCGAACCCGGUGGUCCACGACAGCCGGUUCGGCAUGGACUGCCCGUCCAGUCCCCUGCCGGUCACGCCAGCGCCGGUGGUGGUCCGUCCCACCCCACGCCCGGCGGGACCGCCGAUAUCGCCCCGUUCCUCGGCUGGGUGCGCUCGCGUGUUCCAGCCAGCCGUCCGCGUCGAGGGUUUUGACUGCCUCGACGGUGGCCGUAGCGGCCGUGGCCAUGGCAUCGCCGCCAUGGUCUAG